CCUCCUUGUUCCUCGUGCUCUAUUCUCAGGGUUUCUGGUUCCUCUUGUUUUAUUAUCAGUGUUUCUGGUUCCUCUUGUUUUAUUCUCAGGGUUUCUGGUUCCUCUUGUUUUAUUCUCCGGGUUUCUGGUUCCUCUUGUUUUAUUAUCAGUGUUUCUGGUUCCUCUUGUUUUAUUAUCAGUGUUUCUGGUUCCUCUUGUUUUAUUCUCAGGGUUUCUGGUUCCUCUUGUUUUAUUCUUCGGGUUUCUGGUUCCUCUUGUUUUAUUCUCCGGGUUUCUGGUUCCUCGUGUUUUAUUCUCCCGGCUCCUCGUGUUUUAUUCUGCAAGUUUCUGGAUCGUGUCUUAUUCUGGUUUCUGGCUCCUCGUGUUUUAUUCUCUCGGUUUCUGGUUUUUCUCCCAGUUUCUGUCUCCUCGUGUUUUAUUCCCCGGGUUUCUGGCUCCUCGUGUUUUAUUCCCCAGGUUUCUGGCUCCUCGUGUUUUAUUCCCCAGGUUUCUGGCUCGUGUUUUAUUCCCCAGGUUUCUGGCUCCUCUUGUUUUAUUCUCCAGGUUUCUGGUUCUCUCGUGUUCUCUUCACUCUCCUCUUUAACAAACUCCAUCUUCACAGCAGCAGAUCUAAGUUCAGAUGAUAUUCCUCCAGAUAUUCCUGCUUGCUUUAAAACCUAGUCACUACUUUGAGGAUAAGAAUAUUACAGGUAUUUAUUGACCUGAUUCAAAAACUGUAUUUCUUUAUUUACAGAAACGACUUUUCUAAGAGUUUGUUUUAAACCAGCAUCACGAAAACAAAACAAAACAACAACAACAGAGAGCGCGGUGAAACUAAUCUUCUUCCUCUAAGUUUUAAUGGUGUUUGUCAAACAAACGAAUGUGUUUUAGCGCCACCCGCUGGACUGGAGAGUGAAGCGGCGAGAGGAGAAAUAAAAAAGUAAUGUGUCAUACAGCUAGUAUGGUGAUACAUUAAAUAAACAGAAUUCGUGCUCUGCAUUUAACCCAUCCAAAGUACACACACACACACACACACACACACGGAGCAGUGGGGAGAAGUUGGGGGUUCGCCCCCGAUAUUCGAAUAUUCAACCUUAGGGUUAGGGGUCAAACUGUCUAACCACUAGGCCACGAAAAAAAAAAAAAAAGCUGAUCUGCAAAAAUAAAAAUUCCAACACAAAUUAAAUAUGACAUGACUGACACAGCACUUUCUUACAUAGAAGUGACUGGUUGGUUUACUUUGUCCUGUGUCAACGACAUAAUAACUAGUGGGAACGUGAUAAUAUGUGUGGCCACAAGAUAAUUUUGUCGGGGUAACGACAUCCUUACAUCCUCAGUAGCAUUUGAACACAGUAGCAAAUUAACCAUGAUUUUGUUACUUCAAAUAAUAAUUUACAAAUAAGUAUUAAUAUACUGUAAUCUUUUUUGUUGUUGUUGUUGCUAUAAAAAAAGACCUAUGCCAUCAAUAGCCUUUAAAAUGACUUAAAAUGCAUUAUAUUAAAAAACUAUGAUGCAAUAAUGAUUGGUUAAUAAUAACACUGUUAAAAUACAUAAUGUAGGCAAAUACAAAUAAACAAUUUAUGUACAUGUUAUUACAAAUGGCUGCACAGGGAGCCAAAUGCCAUGUAAAUGCUGCUGCUACAUUUUUGCUAUAGAUGACACAGCCUAUAUAAUUUCUUCAACAAAAAACGUGUAUAUCACAACCCUUACAAAAUAAACCAUGGUUUUAUCAUAGUAAACUUCUUAAUUUGCUUUUGCAUGAUUUCUGAAUGCUUAAGACUAUGAAAUAAAUUAGUCAUAAUAAAGUUAUAGCCAUAGGUAAAUGUCGAGAGCUAAAAUUGUAAUUAGUAAAUAAUACACUUUAUUCAUUUAAUUUUUUAUUUGAUUAAAGUUCUAUUUUCACCCCUAUAGUAGGUGUUUUUUUUUUUUUUUUCAUCAUCAUAUUUGAGGAAGGGGGGCAAAACAAUACAAU
ensembl:lncRNA